AAUUAUAGUAUUUAUUAUAAGAGUAAUGCUUCUAUAUUUGUUAUUUUUCACUACCGUUCAUUUAUUUCUAUUCAAUGGUUUACACUUAAUUUUUCUUCUUUAAAUUGUGACCUGCAAUAAUAGGUCACUUUGAGAGAGGUACCGGUUAUCAGGUACCAAAAAAAUGGAUUCUUUAGUCUUUAAUACGUGGAUAAUUUAAUAAUUUUACUUUCACUAUAUUAUCAAAUAUCUCUUCUCUCUUCGUUUCUUUUUUCUCUCUCUAUCUUUCCUCUUCAUUCAUAGUAGAGAUGUAAAGGGGUUGGAUUCGGGAUGGAUUUUCAAAAAUCUGAACCCAAAUUUAACUAUCAAACCUGAAACUUAAACCCAAAUCCAAAUCCGACGAAUAUUAGAAAAUCAUAUUCACACUCGUACUCGACUUAAAAUCCGAAACCCAAACCCUAACCAGGACCCAAAAACUCGAACCUGAAAUAUUAUUCCUCUUUACAAUAUUUCAAAAUAUAUUCCUAAUCAAUUACCCACAUUCAAAUUUUUUUUUAAAUAGUAAUACAAAAUUAAUGUCUAAGCUAGAAAAAUUU
rnacentral:lncRNA from 1 species